rnacentral:lncRNA from 10 species
CUGAAUCAUAACAUUCAAGACCUGACUUUCUCUUUUUCUUACUUAGUAUUUUUUUUUUAAGAUUAUAGAUGAAGGUAAAGGUCACUCAGCCUGUUAAUUGCAUCUUUAGAAAAUUGGGCCAUAAGCUUGUGAAAUAUGACUCCAUGGAAUUGGAAUGUGUUGAUGCUCACGACAUGUAUAUAAGGGGAUGAAUUGUUUCAUAGAUAUAGUGACAGGUGAGGGAGAAUAAAUAGAGGCUGUUUAUGAGGUGCUUUGAAUUCUUUAGGGUCAAUAAAGUGAUUACAAAGUCACAUUGGUCAAUGAGACAUAAAAAGAAAGUAAAAAUAAAAUGGGGCACAAUUACAGUUUGGGUGAUGGGUUAAAGUCUAAGUUAGGCAUAUUUUAGUGGAAAAAAUUAAAAUGCUUGAUUAAUCUUAAAGCUAAAUUAGAAAUGUAGUUGUGAACUUCAUGACCUUGAAUAUAAGUCAUUUUUUUUUCAGUUAUUUCUGUCUUUCUGUCCCCCAGUACUUAUGGACAGUGAGUGGCCACAUCUUAUGCCCUAAUACGAAUUAGUUCUUGAACUACAGAGAACAAAGGCUCCUUGGAGAUCAAUUGAUUCCAUGCCUUGGGUGCCUCGGGAUGAAGCAAAAUUUGGAUAGAUUAUGAGCUGGAGUGGCUGCCAGAAAACAAGGAAAUUGUAGCAAUGUGUAGAGUUGUACCAAAAGGACAAAGGAGAUAGCUUAACAAGACCCCCACUAGCCAAGAUGCAACAAUUUGAGCAUCCAAAGGGAGAAACUAUAACUAGUUGGGAUGAAUUGAGUCUAUAAGAAAGCCAUGACAUUCAAAGAGGAAAUAAUUUAAUUACAGUGUAUGAGAUGAUAAUUAUACUACAAAAAAGGGUGAA